AGUGAACGCUGGCGGUAGGCCUAACACAUGCAAGUCGAACGGCAGCACAGUAAGAGCUUGCUCUUACGGGUGGCGAGUGGCGGGCGGGUGAGGAAUACAUCGUAAUCUACUUUUUCGGGUGGGAUAACGUAGGGAAACUUACUCUAAGACCGCAUACGACCUACGGUUGAAAGCAGGGGAUCUUCGGACCUUGCGCGAUUGAAUGAGCCGAUGUCGGAUUAGCUAGUUGGCGGGGUAAAGGCCCACCAAGGCGACGAUCCGUAGCUUGUCUGAGAGGAUGAUCAGCCACACUGGAACUGAGACACGGUCCAGACUCCUACGGGAGGCAGCAGUGGGGAAUAUUGGACAAUGGGCGCAAGCAUGAUCCAGCCAUACCGCGUGGGUGAAGAAGGCCUUCGGGUUGUAAAGCCCUUUUGUUGGGAAAGAAAAGCAGCAGGUUAAUACCCCGCUGUUCUGACGGUACCCAAAGAAUAAGCACCGGCUAACUUCGUG
rnacentral:rRNA from 1 species